rnacentral:rRNA from 1 species
UACAGAGGGGGCAAGCGUUGUUCGGAAUUACUGGGCGUAAAGGGCGCGUAGGCGGCCUGUUAAGUCGAACGUGAAAUCCCCGGGCUCAACCCGGGAACUGCGUCCGAGACUGGCAGGCUCGAAUCCGGGAGAGGGAUGUGGAAUUCCAGGUGUAGCGGUGAAAUGCGUAGAUAUCAGGAGGAACACCAAUGGCGAAGGCAGAUCUCUGGGCCGUAACUGACGCUGAGGAGCGAAAGCUAGGGGAGCAAACGGG